UUUUUUAAUUGAAAACUAGUAUGAAUGGUUCAACAAAGUAUUAACUGUCUUUAUAAAAUUUAAUUAGAACUUUAUUUUUUAAUUAAAAAGUUAAAAUUUUUUUAAAAGACGAGAAGACCCUAUAAAUCUUUAUAAAAUUUAUUAAAUUUUAUAUUUUAGAAUAAAUUUGAUAAUUUAAUAAAUUUUAUUUUAUUGGGGUGAUAAUAAAAUUUAAUAAACUUUUAUUUUUAGUGCCAUUAAUUUAUGAAUUUAUGAUCCAAAAAUUUUGAUUAUAAAAUUAAGUUACUUUAGGGAUAACAGCGUAAUAUUUUUAGAGAGUUCUUAUUGAUAAAAAUGAUUGC
rnacentral:rRNA from 1 species